rnacentral:lncRNA from 1 species
CCGUGCUCUGCCUGCCGGGGCGGCCCCGGCCCCGCCGCACUCGCCGCUGCCGUCCGAGCGGAGCGGAGCCGCAGUCCCCAGCGCCAUUGCCUCCCUCAGCCCGCUAUGGCAGGCUGCAACUUGCAACGCGAACUGUUGCACUGAGCGUAGACUGGAAGAAAGGCGGCAGAGGAAUUGGCAGAGGCAGUCUCUAGAAGUUGGUACAGGUUUCUUGGAGGUAAGAGCUGCUUUGAAUUCAGAUGUUAAUGGAGGAUGAUUACAAAAAUUCAGCUGCUUUAGUGUGGGCAUUAUUGAGCAAGAAAAACCUGUCAAAAGGUUUUUAGUAACUUAAGUUUCAAUAUCCUAAAGAUUUGAGAGCUUAAUUUUUCAUUUUAAAAUUGUUAUCACUGUACAGAGAGACUCAGAAGUACUUACCCUCUUUCCUGUUUACCUGUAAACUUUGGCUUUCUUUUACUUUUUAAAAGGGAAAAGUUUAUAUGAGGUUUAUGUAGUAAAAAAGAGAUUUUAAGAACGCUUGACCCCAAAGUACAGCAUCUUGCUUAGUUUUUGGAAGUUUCUUGAAUUCUCAAUCUUUUAUUAAGCUAUUUUAAAUGGAUGUGAAAUAUUUAUUUUAAGACAAGCCUAAUAAGUCAACUCAGCAUCAUCUUUUCAAGUGUGUGUUUGUAAUCAGUAACUGGUUUUAUAUUGCUUACUGGACUAAAAUUGUUCUCUUUCAGGAAGGAGUGAGUAUCUGUUUCAAAAGUAGAUGUAGGAAUGCCUGAGCCUUUGGAAAGGAGGUUCGUAUUGAGAGCUGAAAAAGUUGGCACGUUACCCUGAUUUGCUUAAUAAAUGGAAUUUUUCCUGGAUGAGUCUCUAACUUCACCUUUGUUUUAAUGUGAUUAAGGUCUUGGAAAAAAAGUAGCUUUCAUCAAAGUGCCAAGUAGCAGUACAAAGAAAGCUGAGAAAAGAACCAGUGUGUGCUCAGGUUGUUUUCUGAGUGCCAUGAAGGAGCUUAAUGAACUGUGUAUUAAUAUCCAUAUAAUGUGGAGGUAUCUGAAUUCUUAGACUAUUAAUGCUCCACAGGGAGACUGUAAGGACUGCUGUAUAAUACUAUAAAUCAAGUUAAUGUGUACCAUGAACAGUGAGAGGUUACUAUGUUGGAAGUAAGACUAUAAAGUAGUGAAGUGUUUGAUAAAGAACAGUGAUAUGCUAUUUAAUUUUUAUUUACUGUGAGCAUCGUUGCUAUCUAGAAAACACUGCAGGUGUCAUUUGAUAUCACUCACUUGAUGUCAAGCUGUAAAAUUGUUACCUCUUAGAUUUUGCUUGCACUUUUUUGAAAUGUAAUCUUACAGAUUCAUCUGUAUACUUCUUUCUUGGUCUUCCGUUAGGACUCUGUUCACGCAGACCGUUGCAUGUGCGUUGAUGGGAUCUCCUGUGGAGGGUGGCACUCAUGCUGCACAGAAAUUUGGCAAAACUGUUGCCUGUUGGAACAAUAAACUGAGAGAGCAAUGGGAUGAAAGAUGAGCGAGGAACAGCUUGACCAAUAAUGGUUUUGACCAAAUGCACUUCAGGUUGACCUAUACUGGAAAUACUCAUAUUUCAGAUAUUUUUGUUUAGAAUCACAGCUUAAGUAAGCUCUUACUAAAUAAUCCGAGUAACCAAACAUGCAGUUUUUGAAAGCUGUGAGAUCCUUUGUUAAAAGUCUAAUUCAGCUGGAUUUAAGUCCUCAACAAGCUCAUUCACACAGGAAGUUAAUGAGAUUUAGCUAAUGUGCUUUAAAUCAACGGAAGGUUUGAGUUCGGCAUAACUUUCCUGUGCGUCUUUGUGUAGACAUGCCCUAAUAAUGUUGGUCAGUUGUUAAGACAUACUAUCCUGGAUGGCAGUCAAAAUACCAACUACUUAAAAAUUCAUUAGUGCCUACAAAGAAGGAAUAUGUUUGGGCUUUGAAGACAUGCUUUGAAGCAAAGUGAGAAACUAACUCAGGACUGAAACUUCUUAAAGUGCACGUCAAGUCAUGGUUUUUAAAAACUAAAUGUUAGGAAGUUCGGGCAUAUUUAGCAGUACUUUGCUUCUACUGCAGGCAAAGGGAAAUUGUGUCUUUUUAGGUAGUGUUGCAUUAGGAAUUUGAAGUAUACUUUUUUUAAGUGUGGAUGUAAUUUGCUCUUGACUGGAGGGGGAAAAUCAUCUCUGUAGCAUUUAAGGACACAGUAGCAUUUCAGUGCAAUUUCAUUUCAUGGCAAGGAACUCUGGGUGCAAGAAGCACCUGGUACAGUCAGAUCAUGAGUAUUUUUUGGAUCAAAGAGGCUCAGUUUCAAAAUAGCCUGAGGAAGAGCUCUACUUAAGACUAAAGUGGGAAGAUGGUUUUUACAUGUAGCAACAGAAGAUUAAGUGCAUGUGCUUUGCA